GUUAGUGCCCUUCUACUGUAGUGUUAGUGGCCUUCUACUGUAGUGUUAGUGCCCUUCUACUGUAGUGUUAGUGCCCUUCUACUGUAGUGUUAGUGCCCUUCUACUGUAGUGUUAGAGUGUGUUAGAUGCCCUUCUACUGUAGUGUUAGUAGUGUAUUAGUGC